rnacentral:rRNA from 1 species
AGUGAGCGCUGGCGGUAGGCCUAACACAUGCAAGUCGAACGGCAGCACAGUAAGAGCUUGCUCUUACGGGUGGCGAGUGGCGGACGGGUGAGGAAUACAUCGGAAUCUACUUUUUCGUGGGGGAUAACGUAGGGAAACUUACGCUAAUACCGCAUACGACCUACGGGUGAAAGCAGGGGAUCUUCGGACCUUGCGCGAUUGAAUGAGCCGAUGUCGGAUUAGCUAGUUGGCGGGGUAAAGGCCCACCAAGACGACGAUCCGUAGCUGGUCUGAGAGGAUGAUCAGCCACACUGGAACUGAGACACGGUCCAGACUCCUACGGGAGGCAGCAGUGGGGAAUAUUGGACAAUGGGCGCAAGCCUGAUCCAGCCAUACCGCGUGGGUGAAGAAGGCCUUCGGGUUGUAAAGCCCUUUUGUUGGGAAAGAAAAGCAGCAGGUUAAUACCCCGCUGUUCUGACGGUACCCAAAGAAUAAGCACCGGCUAACUUCGUG